ensembl:snRNA U6 U6 spliceosomal RNA
GUGCUCGCCUUGGGGAGCACAUGCACUAAAAUUGGAAGGAUCCAGAGAAAGGAUCCAGAGAAGAUCAGCAUGGCCCCUGAGCAAGGGUGACACGCAAAUUCAUGCAGUGCUCUGGAUUUAA